rnacentral:tRNA from 3 species
GUGCCGAUAGCUUAAGUGGUUAAAGCGUGGAAGUGAAGUUUCCGAUACGGCGGUUCGACUCCGUCUCAGCACA